GUCGAACGGCAGCACGGAGCUUGCUCUGGUGGCGAGUGGCGAACGGGUGAGUAAUAUAUCGGAACGUACCCUAGAGUGGGGGAUAACGUAGCGAAAGUUACGCUAAUACCGCAUACGAUCUAAGGAUGAAAGUGGGGGAUCGCAAGACCUCAUGCUCGUGGAGCGGCCGAUAUCUGAUUAGCUAGUUGGUAGGGUAAAAGCCUACCAAGGCAUCGAUCAGUAGCUGGUCUGAGAGGACGACCAGCCACACUGGAACUGAGACACGGUCCAGACUCCUACGGGAGGCAGCAGUGGGGAAUUUUGGACAAUGGGCGAAAGCCUGAUCCAGCAAUGCCGCGUGAGUGAAGAAGGCCUUCGGGUUGUAAAGCUCUUUUGUCAGGGAAGAAACGGUGAGAGCUAAUAUCUUUUGCUAAUGACGGUACCUGAAGAAUAAGCACCGGCUAACUACGUGCCAGCAGCCGCGGUAAUACGUAGGGUGCAAGCGUUAAUCGGAAUUACUGGGCGUAAAGCGUGCGCAGGCGGUUUUGUAAGUCUGAUGUGAAAUCCCCGGGCUCAACCUGGGAAUUGCAUUGGAGACUGCAAGGCUAGAAUCUGGCAGAGGGGGGGUAGAAUUCCACGUGUAGCAGUGAAAUGCGUAGAUAUGUGGAGGAACACCGAUGGCGAAGGCAGCCCCCUGGGUCAAGAUUGACGCUCAUGCACGAAAGCGUGGGGAGCAAACAGGAUUAGAUACCCUGGUAGUCCACGCCCUAAACGAUGUCUACUAGUUGUCGGGUCUUAAUUGACUUGGUAACGCAGCUAACGCGUGAAGUAGACCGCCUGGGGGAGUACGGUCGCAAGAUUAAAACUCAAAGGAAUUGACGGGGACCCGCACAAGCGGUGGAUGAAGUUGGAUUAAUUCGAUGCAACGCGAAAAACCUUACCUACCCUUGACAUGGCUGGAAUCCUUGAGAGAUCAGGGAGUGCUCGAAAGAGAACCAGUACACAGGUGCUGCAUGGCUGUCGUCAGCUC
rnacentral:rRNA from 1 species